GACGAACGCUGGCGGCGUGCUUAACACAUGCAAGUCGAACGAAGAGCGAUGGAAGCUUGCUUCUAUCAAUCUUAGUGGCGAACGGGUGAGUAACGCGUAAUCAACCUGCCCUUCAGAGGGGGACAACAGUUGGAAACGACUGCUAAUACCGCAUACGAUCUAAUCUCGGCAUCGAGGAUAGAUGAAAGGUGGCCUCUACAUGUAAGCUAUCACUGAAGGAGGGGAUUGCGUCUGAUUAGCUAGUUGGAGGGGUAACGGCCCACCAAGGCGAUGAUCAGUAGCCGGUCGGAGAGGAUGAACGGCCACAUUGGGACUGAGACAGGGCACAGACCCCUACGGGAGGCAGCAGGGGGGAAUCUUCCGCAAUGGACGAAAGUCUGACGGAGCAACGCCGCGGGAGGGAUGACGGCCUUCGGGUUGUAAAGCUCGGUUAAUCGGGACGAAAGGCCUUCUUGCGAAUAGGGAGAAGGAUUGACGGUACCGGAAGAGAAAGCCACGGCUAACUACGUG
rnacentral:rRNA from 1 species